UACGGAGGGGGUUAGCGUUGUUCGGAAUUACUGGGCGUAAAGCGCGCGUAGGCGGGCUGUUAAGUCAGAGGUGAAAUCCCGGGGCUCAACCCCGGAACUGCCUUUGAUACUGGCAGCCUGGAGUUCGAGAGAGGUGAGUGGAAUUCCGAGUGUAGAGGUGAAAUUCGUAGAUAUUCGGAGGAACACCAGUGGCGAAGGCGGCUCACUGGCUCGAUACUGACGCUGAGGUGCGAAAGCGUGGGGAGCAAACAGG
rnacentral:rRNA from 1 species